UACGGGGGGGCAAGCGUUGUUCGGAAUUACUGGGCGUAAAGGGCUCGUAGGCGGCCAACUAAGUCGGAUGUGAAAUCCCCAGGCUUAACCUGGGAACUGCAUCCGAUACUGGAUGGCUUGAAUCCGGGAGAGGGAUGCAGAAUUCCAGGUGUAGCGGUGAAAUGCGUAGAUAUCUGGAGGAACACCGGUGGCGAAGGCGGCAUCCUGGACCAAUUCUGACGCUGAGGAGCGAAAGCCAGGGGAGCAAACGGG
rnacentral:rRNA from 1 species